AAAUUGAAGAGUUUGAUCAUGGCUCAGAUUGAACGCUGGCGGCAGGCCUAACACAUGCAAGUCGAACGGUAACAGGAAGAAGCUUGCUUCUUUGCUGACGAGUGGCGGACGGGUGAGUAAUGUCUGGGAAACUGCCUGAUGGAGGGGGAUAACUACUGGAAACGGUAGCUAAUACCGCAUAACGUCGCAAGACCAAAGAGGGGGAGCUUCGGGCCUCUUGCCAUCGGAUGUGCCCAGAUGGGAUUAGCUAGUAGGUGGGGUAACGGCUCACCUAGGCGACGAUCCCUAGCUGGUCUGAGAGGAUGACCAGCCACACUGGAACUGAGACACGGUCCAGACUCCUACGGGAGGCAGCAGUGGGGAAUAUUGCACAAUGGGCGCAAGCCUGAUGCAGCCAUGCCGCGUGUAUGAAGAAGGCCUUCGGGUUGUAAAGUACUUUCAGCGGGGAGGAAGGGAGUAAAGUUAAUACCUUUGCUCAUUGACGUUACCCGCAGAAGAAGCACCGGCUAACUCCGUGCCAGCAGCCGCGGUAAUACGGAGGGUGCAAGCGUUAAUCGGAAUUACUGGGCGUAAAGCGCACGCAGGCGGUUUGUUAAGUCAGAUGUGAAAUCCCCGGGCUCAA
rnacentral:rRNA from 1 species